rnacentral:misc_RNA from 1 species
CAUCCACUCAUCUCAACCUCUUUUCCAAGGCGUUCUUUCACAAAAACAGCAACUUCAGCCAAAUCUAGAUUUAAAGCAACUAGACCACUCUUCCCACGCUUACCAAACAGCAUGUCAGGCUUCACAACCAGUUUUCCUGACAAAAGCCAGGGUUCCUUCUCUGCUAGCUCAUUGAAAUCAGUUGAUUCUGUAACUUGUGC